UACGGAGGAUGCAAGCGUUAUCCGGAAUGAUUGGGCGUAAAGCGUCCGUAGGUGGCUAUUCAAGUCUGCUGUUAAAGCGCAGGGCUUAACCCUGUAAAGGCGGUGGAAACUGGAGAGCUAGAGUGUGGUAGGGGUAGAGGGAAUUCCCGGUGUAGCGGUGAAAUGCGUAGAGAUCAGGAAGAACAUCGGUGGCGAAGGCGCUCUGCUGGACCAUAACUGACACUCAGGGACGAAAGCUAGGGGAGCGAAUGGG
rnacentral:rRNA from 1 species